rnacentral:rRNA from 1 species
UGGCUCAGAACGACGCUGGCGGCGCGUUUAAGCAUGCAAGUCGAGCGGUAGCAGCAAUGCGAGAGCGGCGGACGGGUGAGUAACACGUGGGUAAUCUGCCCUUCGGUCGGGAAUAGCCUGGUGGAAACACAGGAUAAUACGGUGGAUGCGAUGGUCUCACACAAGUGGAGGUCAGGAAAGGAGCCAAGGCUCCGCCGGAGGAUGAGCCCGCGUCCCAUUAGCUAGAUGGUGAAGGUAAAGGCCCACCAUGGCGAUGAUGGGUAGCCGGCCUGAGAGGGUGAACGGCCACAUUGGAACCGAGACACGGUCCAGACUCCUACGGGAGGCAGCAGCUAAGAAUCUUCCACAAUGGACGAAAGUCUGAUGGAGCGACGCCGCGUGGGCGAUGAAGGGCCCGUGAGGUUGUAAAGCCCUUUUCUUGAGGGGGAAUAAUGCGGGCAGGGAAUGGCCUGCAGAUGACGUGAAUCAAGGAAUAAGCCCCGGCUGACUACGUGCCAGCCGCAGC